rnacentral:rRNA from 1 species
UACGUAGGGGGCAAGCGUUGUCCGGAAUCACUGGGCGUAAAGCGCGCGUAGGCGGACUCUUAAGUCGGUGGUGAAAUCCUGGAGCUCAACUCCAGAACUGCCUUCGAUACUGAGAGUCUUGAGUCCGGGAGAGGUGAGUGGAACUGCGAGUGUAGAGGUGAAAUUCGUAGAUAUUCGCAAGAACACCAGUGGCGAAGGCGGCUCACUGGCCCGGUACUGACGCUGAGGUGCGAAAGCGUGGGGAGCAAACAGG